GGGCUCAGUUGGUAGAGUGCUGGCUUUGAAUGCACAAGGCCCUGGGUUCAAUCCCCAGCA
rnacentral:tRNA from 1 species